rnacentral:rRNA from 1 species
ACCGGGAAACUGGUGCUAAUACCGGAUACGCUCAUCUAUACACAUGUAUAGAUGAGGAAAGGAGAAAUCCGCAGGUAGAUGGGUCCGCGUCCCAUUAGCUAGUUGGCGGUGUAAAAGACCACCAAGGCGACGAUGGGUAGCCGGCCUGAGAGGGUGGACGGCCACACUGGAACUGAGACACGGUCCAGACUCCUACGGGAGGCAGCAGUGGGGAAUCUUCCGCAAUGGGCGAAAGCCUGACGGAGCAACGCCGCGUGAGUGAGGAAGGCCUUCGGGUCGUAAGGCUCUGUCUUCAGGGAAGAAAAAAAUGACGGUACCUGAGGAGGAAGCCCCGGCUAACUACGUGCCAGCAGCCGCGGUAAAACGUAGGGGGCGAGCGUUGUCCGGAAUUACUGGGCGUAAAGGGCGCGUAGGCGGUUAUUUAAGUCAGAGGUGAAAACUGUGGGCUCAACCCACAGCCUGCCUUUGAAACUGGAUGACUUGAGGGCAAGAGAGGGGAGUGGAAUUCCCAGUGUAGCGGUGAAAUGCGUAGAUAUUGGGAGGAACACCAGUGGCGAAGGCGGCUCUCUGGCCUGUUUCUGACGCUGAGGCGCGAAAGCGUG